rnacentral:tRNA from 1 species
AGGCCAGUGUCUCAAUAACUGGGUCAUAGAGCCCUUGGCGCGUAACCGAGAGAUCUGGGUUCGAUUCCCAGUCUGGGCUG